UAUCCAGACUCCUACGGGAGGCAGCAGUGAGGAAUAUUGGUCAAUGGGCGGGAGCCUGAACCAGCCAAGCCGCGUGAGGGAAGAAGGUACAGCGUAUCGUAAACCUCUUUUGUCAGGGAGCAACGCCGGCUACGUGUAGCCGGACUGAGAGUACCUGAAGAAAAAGCAUCGGCUAACUCCGUGCCAGCAGCCGCGGUAAUACGGAGGAUGCGAGCGUUAUCCGGAUUUAUUGGGUUUAAAGGGUGCGUAGGCGGAAUGCCAAGUGAGCGGUAAAAUGGGGGGGCUCAACCUCGCUCCGCCGUUGAAACUGGCGUUCUUGAGUGGGCGAGAAGUAUGCGGAAUGCGUGGUGUAGCGGUGAAAUGCGUAGAUAUCAGGAGGAACACCGGUGGCGAAGGCGGCCUGCUGGACUGCAACUGACGUUGAGGCCCGAAAGCGUGGGGAGCAAACAGGAUUAGAUACCCCUGUA
rnacentral:rRNA from 1 species